rnacentral:lncRNA from 1 species
AUCUUGGUGGCUCUGGGUUUGGUUUGGGGGCCAUCUCAAUGACUUUGGGGCCAUCUCAAUGACUUUGGGUUCAUCUUGUUGGCCCUGGGGUUGGUGUGAGGUCCAUUUCAAUUCAUUUCUAUCCAUCUCAAUGACUUUGGGUCCAUCUCAGUGGCCCUGGGGUUGGUUUGGGGGUCGUCUCAAUGCCUUUCUAUCCAUCUCGAUGACUUUGGGUCCAUCUCAGUGGCCCUGGGGUUGGUGUGAAGGCUCUUUCAUUUCCUUUCUAUCCAUCCCAAUGACUUUGGGUCCAUCUUGGUGGCUCUGGGGUUGGUUUGGGGGUCGUCUCAAUUCCUUUCUAUCCACCUCAAUGACUCUGGGUCCAUCUCAAUGGCUCUGGGGUUGGUGUGAGGGCCAUUUCAUUUGUUUUCUAUCCAUUCCAAUGACUCUGGGUCCAUCUCAGUGAUUCUGGGGUUGGUCUGGGGGUCGUCUCAAUGCCUUUCCAUCCAUCCCAAUGACUUUGGGUCCAUCUCAGUGGCCCUGGGGUUGGUGUGAGGGCCGCUUCAUUUCCUUCCUAUCCAUCUCAAUGACUCUGGGUCCAUCUCAAUGGCUCUGGGGUUGGUGUGAGGGCCGUUUCAUUUCCUUUCUAUCCAUCCCAAUAACUUUGGGUCCAUCUCAGUGGCCCUGGGGUUGGUUUGGGGGUCGUCUCAAUGCCUUUCCAUCCAUCCCAAUGAGUUUGGGUCCAUCUCAGUGUCCCUGGGGUUGGUGUGAAGGCCGUUUCAUUUCCUUCCUAUCCAUCUCGAUGACUCUGGGGCCAUCGUGGUGUUGUUUUGCUGCCUUUGGGUGCGCAGUUGGACGAGUUCUACGUGGGUCAGAUCCCUCUGAAAGAAGUGACCUUCGCCCGCCUGAACGACAACGUGCGGGAGCCCUUUUUGGCCGAAAUGUGCCGCAAAUACGGCGAGGUGGAGGAGGUGGAGAUCCUCCACCACCCCAAAACCCGAAAGCACCUGGGCUUGGCCCGCGUCCUCUUCACCAGCACCCGCGGCGCCAAGGAAACGGUCAAACACCUCCACAACACGCCGGUGAUGGGCAACGUCAUCCACGUCCAGCUGGACAUCAAGGGGCAGCAGAGGAUGAAGUACUACGAGUUGAUCGUCAACGGGGCCUACACACCCCAAACUGUGCCCACGGGUGGCAAGACACCGGGCACAGGGGACAAGGCUGAGGCGGUAUGGAGGGGGGGAAAAGUCCAAAAGGGGGCUUUUGGGGUCGGGGGUCGUUUUGGGGGUGGGAGAGAUCUUGCUGGGGUCUGGAGGGUGUUUUUUUGGGGCUGGAGGGGGUUGGUUUGGGACUGAAGAGUUGGUUGUGGGGGACAAGGUGGAGGAAUUAUGGAGAAGAAAACCUGGAAGGGUUUUUGGGGCUGGGGGUGUCCUUUCGGUGUGGGGGUGGUGUUUUUGGGGCUGACAACGUGGGGGAAUUGUGGAGAGAAAAA